rnacentral:lncRNA from 1 species
AAUCUUCUUCAACACGUCUAGACCGCCAGUUGCUUCCCUUCGUGCGCCCCGAGCCUCUCCUUUUCUCUUCGUCGAGCUCACCCAUCUGCUUCAAUUUUCAUUUUCUUUUCCUCGCAGCUUCAUUCCCUCAAUUUCUCUCCCUCUCUCCACCGAGUUCCUCAACCGUUGCCACGUCCAUGACAGCCUCCACCCACGAAAGAAAACCCCACUGAAAUAGCUCUAGCACCUGCCGCGUUCUUCAGUCAACCGUAAGCUCCUUCAACGCCAGCAAAGCUCGAAGCAUCUCCAUCUCGCCAACCGAAGCUGCAGCUGCCACGUCCGAAGAUCUCUCUCUCUCCCUGCUCCAUCUUCGACCGUCUGCCAGCGUCCCAGCUUCUGCCAGCACGCCUUCACCACCUUGCGUCUCCAUCGAUCAAGACCACCAGAAGAACGCCUCAACGUUGACCGAAGCAGCCGAGCGUUCCAUUCCCUUCGUCCGCGUGUCUUCGGCCCAGCAAAUCCAGCGUCUUGGGCCCGUAUCUUCAGCGCCCAUAAGCCCAGCAGCAACGCACGAAGCCCAGCGAAGAAGUCUGGCCAGCCCACGUGAAUGUCAUCUUCAAGCCCAGCCAAUUGAAGUCCAUCAACAGCCCAUCUCAGCCCGUGAAUUUCAGUCCAGAAAGUUUCGCAGCAGCCC